GUGCAGCCCGCCCGCCCUGCCGCCCGCUUGCGUAAGGCUGGGAGGGGGCGGGUGACACCGCCUCGUCCUGCCCGGCGCGGGGACCCCGGGACUCGCUCGCCUGCGCCCGCCUCCCUCCUUCCCCGCCACACGCACCCGGGGCAGGGACUUGCUGGGAGGGCAGGACGAGGGAAGCAGAGGAGUCCUGAACCCAUUUUACAGAAGGAGACACUUCAGUGAGGUGAAGGCAACAGCAGGCAGCAGGGCUGGCAGGCAUUCGUUCUCCAGUGGCAGCCCAGCUCCAGUCCAGCCUUCCUGCCCACCCCUGGCUGGCCAGCUUUCCAAGAAAAGACUACUCUUCCUGCUUCCAGUAGCAGGGCACACAGUUUCUCCCUGAGGGCCACCUGCAAUCAUCUGCAACCCACCGCAGUUUGGAACGGUGCAAGCACAGCAUGCCCUGAAGGAAAUUUCUACUGCCUUCAAUAAUGCAGGAUCAUACCCAGAAAAACCUAGCAAGAAGGACACCUGUACUGCAGGACAGGCUGCUAGAAAGUAUCACAAGACGAUGAACUUGUUGUCUGAAAAUAUUACAUCCCAAAUACAUUUAGAAGAUUAGUAUUCUAAUUGUUGUAUCAUGUAACAUAUUCAAAAGUCACUCGGGUAUCUGAUUCUCACCUGGAAGUGGCACUUUGGAUAUUGUUCACUUGUCACCUAUCAUCAGGAAAUGCAAUGCACUAUCCACAGAAUAGUUUAACUAUAGGCUUGCUGCAACCAUUAUUCACAGAGACAUUUCCCUCUCCUUAAAAUUCCCAGUGCUCUUUCAGUCCUCUUGAGGCUACUGAUGUGCAACAUCCUCACUCCAACUAAAACAAUCCAUCCUCUACCAGCAGUUCUCUCUGCCCACCACCACUGAUAUCAGAUCUUCCUGUCCUUACACACCCCUGCUCUCCCAAAUCCCAUUAAGGCCCUAUCUCCCACAAGGCAUGAUUGAUCUUUUAUGCAGUCCAUACUGCUCACACCAAGGUGUAGCCAACACCAAGCUGCUCACCACGCCAUCACCAAGGUGUAGCCAACAGACCCUUAAAACACCUCAACAAAUCUAAACCUCUUUUUCCUUCCCUAGAGCAAGCAAGCCUCAUUUAUUGAGCUGAAUAUGAAAUCUGCUGCUAUAACAUGAUGUGGUUAUUCUCUCUCAGUUCACAGGAUUUUGGACAAUAUUAAAA